UAGCACCACAGAUUGCUAUAGCUACAGCAAGGUUCAAUAUAAACAUGUGGGGUAAGAGGCUUCCAUGGCAAUGCCACAAAGGCCUCCCGGUGCAGCAACAUCUCUUUGCAUUCUUGUAUAGAUGAUUACAUUGGAAGGAUAGGAAGUUCCAACUUCAAUGGGGACACAAGAGGCAUCUGUAAGUGUUGAAAUUUAUCAUGAAGAUCCAAAGUGAAGCUGGUCUCUUAAGAAACAAGAUGUCUUUCAAGUGGAAUGUGCUGUGUUGAGGCAAUCCACCCUUAUGUACUUUAGGUUUAUUUUUUUUAUUGGUUUUGCUAUAAGCUUCAUUUGUGAUUGCUUCACAACAUUUGUUUGUAUACUACUCAACUUUUUAUACAAGUGAAGGUUCUUUGCAACAAGCAAAGAAUUAGACAGA